CCUCCGCAAAUUUACUGCGUGUAAUGACAAUCAAACGACAGCGGUCCAUCUUCGGUUAUCUUUGGUCGAGCUAGCUUACCGACCAUAUGCGAUGACAGUCGACGAUCAACCUUGGUUAUUACCACUAGUUGCGUGCGAGAGUGAAGCGUUGAAAACGAAGUAUUGGGAAAAAAGUGGGAUUGAGACAUAAAAAUACUUCGUAGCGUGAUUUAAACAGAAAAAAAAUAUUAUGAUAUGAUAAAAUGUUCGCGGCUUACUAUCUCGACGGUAAUUUUAAAUGUCAAUUAUGCAAAAACAUUAAGCAUAAAUUCUCUUCGUGUAUAAUUAGGUCGAGAUCUGCUUCCGGUACUCGAUCGUAUUCGUUGAUUAAAAUAUUGAAGAAGUCCCAGCGUUAUUUUCAAUUACUUAAGAAUGAUUAACCGGUGUAUUCGUUACAAGGAUAGCAAAGGCUAUCGCCACACGUAAGCAGGCAUAGUGGGAUGCAGAGACAUAAUAAUACAGCGAACAUGAAUUAUACAGUAAGGUCAAUAUUACUCCUAUUAAAUCUUCAGUGAUCAGAGGUAAAGAAUGUUUGAGAGCAUAGUUGUUCGUAGUGAGUUUUUGGUCACGAUGGACAUUAUUAUGAGUUGUGUUCAUCGAGCAAAGUUGAAAUGAAUAAAACUAACCU